AUUGAACGCUGGCGGCAGGCCUAACACAUGCAAGUCGAGCGGAUGAAGGGAGCUUGCUCCUGGAUUCAGCGGCGGACGGGUGAGUAAUGCCUAGGAAUCUGCCUGGUAGUGGGGGAUAACGUCCGGAAACGGGCGCUAAUACCGCAUACGUCCUGAGGGAGAAAGUGGGGGAUCUUCGGACCUCACGCUAUCAGAUGAGCCUAGGUCGGAUUAGCUAGUUGGUGGGGUAAAGGCCUACCAAGGCGACGAUCCGUAACUGGUCUGAGAGGAUGAUCAGUCACACUGGAACUGAGACACGGUCCAGACUCCUACGGGAGGCAGCAGUGGGGAAUAUUGGACAAAGGGCGAAAGCCUGAUCCAGCCAUGCCGCGUGUGUGAAGAAGGUCUUCGGAUUCUAAAGCACUUUAAGUUGGGAGGAAGGGCAGUAAGUUAAUACCUUGCUGUUUUGACGUUACCAACAGAAUAAGCACCGGCUAACUUCGUG
rnacentral:rRNA from 1 species